rnacentral:rRNA from 1 species
ACUACGGGGGGCAGCAGUGGGGAAUAUUGCACAAUGGGCGAAAGCCUGAUGCAGCAACGCCGCGUGAAGGAAGAAGGGUUUCGGCUCGUAAACUUCUAUCAACAGGGACGAAAGAAAUGACGGUACCUGAAUAAGAAGCCCCGGCUAACUACGUGCCAGCAGCCGCGGUAAUACUUAGGGGGCAAGCGUUAUCCGGAAUUACUGGGUGUAAAGGGUGAGUAGGCGGCAUGGUAAGCCAGAUGUGAAAGCCUUGUGCUUAAACCGAGGAUUGCAUUUGGAAAUAUCAAGCUAGAGUACAGGAGAGGAAAGCGGAAUUCCUAGUGUAGCGGUGAAAUGCGUAGAUAUUAGGAAGAACACCAGUGGCGAAGGCGGCUUUCUGGACUGAAACUGACGCUGAGGCACGAAAGCGUGGGGAGCGAACAGGAUUAGAUACCCCAGUAGUC